rnacentral:lncRNA from 1 species
CGGGAUCCGCCUUGGCCCAUUUCUGAAAUGGAUCUGGAAUAUUCUUGGAAUAUCUUUUUCAAAAUUUUCUCUGAAACCUUCCUAGGCUAGUUUCGAUGCCCCGAGUCUGUUUUUGACAUCCAUUUAGUGAAAUUCCAAUGUUUUAACGUAGUUGACCGCCUCGAUGGCUCAGUUGACUUUUUGUUGACUUUUUACAAAAAUUGCCCUGGACCCUUCAGAGCGUAUUUUGACGUGCUGAUUCUGAAUAUGUCGUCCAUUUCUCAAAAUUCAAAUGUUUUAAUUGAGUUUUACUAAUGGGUCUUCAUUAUGUUUAGGUACGUUUAACAUCGGCGAUCUGUAUUUACUUGUUCGAACGGCUAUGACUUCGCAAGUAUUUAUGAAUGGGACUUUGCUUUUAAAUAUUAUAUAUUUAUUUAGUUUCCAUUUAUAUAUUUGAUAAAGAAUUUCCUACGUUACGUCUAGAUUAGAUUAACGUUAUAAGAAUUAGCGUAUCGAUGAAAUUUAUGAAAUUAUGCUACAUCAUGCGGGAUGCACAUGUAUGCGUACUAUGAUAGGAUGCCUUAAUCAUAUUUAUGGCCAUAAAUAGUAUUAUGUCAACUAGAAUUAUCAAUUUAACGUUGCAUGAUCAUAUAUAUGUUAUCUGCUUAUCGUGUGCUACACUGGUGUUAAUACUCACCCGGGCCAAGGCCAGGCUUCACGUAUAUGUUGACAUUGCACCAUAUUUUCACUUUGGAUCCAUUGUAGGUGCCAAUCCUGUCCUAAAUUGAUAUAGGCAAUUAGGACUCAUAUGUGAUGUGCAUAGUGCCAGUCUUUACGUGAUUGUAGUACUAGUGCGUAAAUCAUUAUUCCACCCAGUAUUGUUCCUGUGAUGAUACAUCUGCAUGAGCUCGUGUGUCAACAUAUGUAGAUGAGCACUUGAUAUGAUAUGUUUGUUAAUGCGAGAUUAUGUGAUUACUGGAUGUUAUGUGUUUAUUUACGAAAUAAACACAUAACAUCCAGUAAAUAUUUUCAUACUAUACAUAGUAUGUUAUGUGUUAAUGCGAGAUUAUUGUGACAAAUUGAAUUCUUGAGAUACUGCAGGCUACGGUAAAUAUUUUCAUACUAUACAUAGUAUGUAUAUUUUGAAAACUAUACUUGUUUUACAUCGAGGGGUUACUAUGUUUUCGAAAAGGUUUUUACAAAGCUUUAUUUUAGGCCCAUUCACCCUUAUUUUUUCGCCUAUAUAGGUUUUAGUGGCAGAGCUUCUGUGUGGACAAGGAUUCUUGGCAAAUGUUGGUAUAGGAGAGUACAUUUGAUGGUAUAAUUCUUAUCCUACUUAUAUUGUACUUUACUUAUACUCUGAUUACUUAUGUUGUGACAUCACGUGUGGAAUAGGUUCAUUCCUGCUCACAUGCGCAUUCUUCCAUUUAGUCACUUUUAGGUUAAUUUAUUCAUGUUUUCCACAUCACUACACUUUAUGGUUUCGUCACCUCCUAGGGUUGGCCAGCACAGCUCGAUUCGGAGUUCAGGUGGACCUUCUGGGUCGAGGUGUGUCAAGUGCAACUGAAAAAUAGACGGUUCGAUGAGUAGGCCCCAUAACUAGUUUCCAUUUAAAAAAAAUCCCUUUGAAUAAAGGGUCAAUAUUUUUUUUAGUACAUCGAUAUUUUUACACUAGGGGAUGGAGAAUUCGGCUAAGCCACACAAUAGGCAGCCUAAUUUGGUAUCGAAUUCGGCAUCUAUGAGAUUCAAACCUAAGACUUCUCACUUCUAAGCGAAGAGAAAUACUACCAGACUGUAGUACUGAGUGACAAAGGGUCAAUAUCUAUAUAUAUGUUAAUAAAUUAUUAUUAUAUUAAAAAUAUGGAAACUGUUAUUAGUACUUCAAAAAUCUCAUUCUACACUCCUCACAAGUGUAUUUUUCUUUCUAAUUAUAGAAUGUUUGGAGUGUCAAAUGAGAUUUUUGGAGUGCUAAUAACAAUUCCAAAAAAUGUAAAGUUUGAUCUAUCUGUUUGUGAACACGGAAAAUUCCUGAAACGAAAGAGACAAGAACAACGUGCACAAAAUAAUAUUUGUGUUUGAUGAUUUUGGGUUACAAUCUCGCUCAAAUUUGAUCCUCUGAUUCGAUCUCCGUAAGGUGUUGAUUUGUGGAUGUUUCGUUGAUCCAAGGGCUGUCGAGGCUUGAUCUUGGAUGAACUGUUGGAAGUUUCUUCAAGGGGCCGUGGGCUUGAUCUUUGAAGGUGGAUUUGAGCGGAUCUUCAAGGAGCCGUUGGGGCUUGAUCUUGAGGAUGAGUGUUUCUUCAAGGGUCGUUAAGGUUUGAUCUUGAAUAACGGUGAUGAACGGAUCUUCAAGGGCUUUUGGGCUUGAUCUUGAAGAACGGUUGGAUGUGUGGAUUUGUUGAUGUUGUUGAUCCAAGGGCCGUUGGGGCUUGAUCUUGGAUGAACGGAUGAUGAACGAUGGUGCUUUCUUCAAGGGCCGUCGGGGCUUGAUCUUGAAUUGGUGGAUUGUUGAUGCAAGGGUCGUCGGGACUUGAUCUUGGAAGAACAAUGAACGAAGAACGAAUAACACUUUCUUCGAGGGUCGUCAGGGCUUGAUCUUGAAGAAUAAUGAUGAACGGAUCUUCAAGGGCUUUUAGGCUUGAUCUUGAAGAUGGAUGGUUGUUGAUCCAAGGGUCGUCGGGGCUUGAUCUUGGGAUGAACAAUUGUGUGGAUUUAUUGAUAUUGUUGAUCCAAAGGGCCGUUGGGGCUUGAUCUUAGGAUGAACAGUUGUGUGGAUUUGUUUGAUGUUGUUGAUCCAAAGGGCCGUUGGGGCUUGAUCUUAGGAUGAACAGUUGUGUGGAUUUGUUGAUGUUGUUGAUCCAAAAGGUCGUUGGGGCUUGAUCUUAGGAUGAAUAGUUAUGUGGAUUUGGUGACGUUGUUGAUCCAAAAGGGCUGUCGGGGCUUGAUCUUAGGAUGAACAGUUAUGUGGAUUUGGUGAUGUUGUUGAUCCAAAAGGGUCGUCGGGGGCUUGAUCUUAGGAUGAACAAUUGUGUGGAUUUGUUGAACACUUUCUUCAAGGGCCGUCGAGGCUUGAUCUUGAAUUGGUGGAAGUUCUUCAAGGGCCGUUGGGGCUUGAUCUUGAAGGAGGAAUUUCUUCAAGGGCCAUUGGGGCUUGAUCUUGAAGGAGGAUUUGACGAAGAACGAAUAGGGCUUUCUUGAUCCUUCGGGAUUUGCUUGAAUUUGGGAGGUUGGAUGCUUGAAAGCUUUAGAGUUUCAAAGCUUCAAGGAUUUUGGAUGUGUGAGGAGUAUUCUCUUCCAUUUUGGGAGUAGAGAAAUGUAUUUGUGAAUUGGUUUCAUGAUACCUUGAUGUAGAAGCCUAUUUAUAGGCUUUGAGAAUGAAUCACCACCACAAAA